GACAGAGGUGGCAAGCGUUGUUCGGAUUCAUUGGGUGUAAAGGGUCCGUAGGUGGCCCAUUAAGUCUGACGUGAAAUCCCAGAGCUCAACUCUGGAACUGCGUUGGAGACUAUUGGGCUUGAGUGCCGGAGAGGUUAGGGGAAUUCCAGGUGUAAGGGUGAAAUCUGUAGGUAUCUGGAGGAACACCGGUGGCGAAGGCGCCUAACUGGCCGGUUACUGACACUGAGGGACGAAAGCAAGGGGAGCAAACAGGAUUAGAAACCCCUGUAGU
rnacentral:rRNA from 1 species